CUGUGCGGGGCUUGUCCUGGCCGAGGUCUCACCAGCUGUGUUCCCUUUCAGCCUGGAGGAAGGCCCAGCUGUACGGGGACUGGCGGAAGGAGCAGUUCCAGGCCUUGGCUGUCACUCUGGAUCCAAGUCGUGCUCAUCCCAAACUUGCUGUCUCUCAGGACAGGACAAGUGUGACCUGGAAGGACAUCUGUGUGGGCUCAGGUGAUAUCCAUGUUGUGUUAAGCCAUGAGGACAUCACAUCUGGACGCUGUUACUGGGAGGUGGAGAUCAGGA